GUUGGAUACCUGGGUCUGGUGCGUCAGAGCCCCAGCUUCACCCUCUCAAGCUCAGUUGUUGUUACUCUGAAGUCACUCUGGCCACCACCUUACCUUGAUGACAUAGUCCUGGCCUGUGAGGUUAAACCAGACUCCACCAAGGUGGAAGGAGACAGGGGGAAGCGUUGGCGUCUUGGAACACUGAAUGAAGUACUGUGGAAGAAGAGGAGCAGUAAAGGGAAACUCACAGCAUGCCAAACUGAAGAAAUGACAUCUCGUGGACGGAACCCACAAGUUGGAAGAACCCGUGUCAAAGACAACGGUGAAAUUCUGAGGAGGCGUUCCCAAACCAAUAGUUCCAAAAUACUGGGUCUGGUGGCACAAGAGAACACAGGGUAAACGAAGAGCCGGUUAUUCUGCCGCAAGGGUGAAAAUGGGGGCACCGAGACUCACGUUCAUGAACUUGGAGAGAGGCACAAAGGAGGGGUUGCCACCAGAGGUGGAGGUCCUAGAAAGCUCUGCCAGCUGUUCCCAUCCAUUCAGUGGGUUUAAGAUUCUGUGUCCAAGGUGGAUUCGUUGAAGAGGGACACUAGAGAGAGAAAGAGACAAUUUGAACAGUGACAAACCAAUGCAUUCGGGAGACCCUCGUGUGACAGAUGCCCUCCGUAGGGCCUGAAGGUAAUGAUCCCCGAGUUCCUGUAGGAGCAGUCAUCCGUAAUGACUGCAGCUCCGUAAUGACCAGGAAGUGCUACUGAGGGCGGCUGCACAGCCCUACAGAAGAAAGGAUCCGUGUAUGGGCUCAAAGACCUGCCAGGAUCCACAUACCU
rnacentral:lncRNA from 1 species